rnacentral:rRNA from 2 species
UGCUACUACAUGACAAGUCGAGCGAACUGAUUAGAAGCUUGCUUCUAUGACGUUAGCGGCGGACGGGUGAGUAACACGUGGGCAACCUGCCUGUAAGACUGGGAUAACUUCGGGAAACCGAAGCUAAUACCGGAUAGGAUCUUCUCCUUCAUGGGAGAUGAUUGAAAGAUGGUUUCGGCUAUCACUUACAGAUGGGCCCGCGGUGCAUUAGCUAGUUGGUGAGGUAACGGCUCACCAAGGCAACGAUGCAUAGCCGACCUGAGAGGGUGAUCGGCCACACUGGGACUGAGACACGGCCCAGACUCCUACGGGAGGCAGCAGUAGGGAAUCUUCCGCAAUGGACGAAAGUCUGACGGAGCAACGCCGCGUGAGUGAUGAAGGCUUUCGGGUCGUAAAACUCUGUUGUUAGGGAAGAACAAGUACGAGAGUAACUGCUCGUACCUUGACGGUACCUAACCAGAAAGCCACGGCUAACUACGUGCCAGCAGCCGCGGUAAUACGUAGGUGGCAAGCGUUAUCCGGAAUUAUUGGGCGUAAAGCGCGCGCAGGCGGUUUCUUAAGUCUGAUGUGAAAGCCCACGGCUCAACCGUGGAGGGUCAUUGGAAACUGGGGAACUUGAGUGCAGAAGAGAAAAGCGGAAUUCCACGUGUAGCGGUGAAAUGCGUAGAGAUGUGGAGGAACACCAGUGGCGAAGGCGGCUUUUUGGUCUGUAACUGACGCUGAGGCGCGAAAGCGUGGGGAGCAAACAGGAUUAGAUACCCUGGUAGUCCACGCCGUAAACGAUGAGUGCUAAGUGUUAGAGGGUUUCCGCCCUUUAGUGCUGCAGCUAACGCAUUAAGCACUCCGCCUGGGGAGUACGGUCGCAAGACUGAAACUCAAAGGAAUUGACGGGGGCCCGCACAAGCGGUGGAGCAUGUGGUUUAAUUCGAAGCAACGCGAAGAACCUUACCAGGUCUUGACAUCCUCUGACAACUCUAGAGAUAGAGCGUUCCCCUUCGGGGGACAGAGUGACAGGUGGUGCAUGGUUGUCGUCAGCUCCUGUCCUGAGAUGUUGGGUUAAGUCCCGCAACGAGCGCAACCCUUGAUCUUAGUUGCCAGCAUUUAGUUGGGCACUCUAAGGUGACUGCCGGUGACAAACCGGAGGAAGGUGGGGGAUGACGUCAAAUCAUCAUGGCCCCUUAUGGACCGGGGCUAACACCGUGGUUACAAUGGGAGGGUACAAAGGGGUGCCAGAACCGCGGGGGUCAGGCCAUUCCUUAAAAACAUUUUUCCGUUCGGAA